rnacentral:ncRNA from 1 species
AAUAAAACGAUGAUAGGAACUAGUAAUGUGGCAGUGUUGUUGAGAGAGUUAGCGGAUGGUGUGAGCUAAUCAAUACGAAACAUGAACUCAUCCUUGAGUGCUGCAGUGAACGGAGUAGUUGCAGCCGCUGAUUCCGCGUUAUGGAAUUCGAGUGAAUACACAAUGUGUAUUAAUGACGGGUGGUACCGCGGGAAAAUAAUCUCGUCCCGAAA